UACGGAGGGUGCAAGCGUUAAUCGGAAUUACUGGGCGUAAAGCGUGCGCAGGCGGUUUGCUAAGUCCGCUGUGAAAUCCCCCGAGCUCAACUUGGGAAUUGCAGUGGAUACUGGCAGGCUGGAGUACGGUAGAGGAAGGUGGAAUUCCCGGUGUAGCAGUGAAAUGCGUAGAGAUCGGGAGGAACACCAGUGGCGAAGGCGGCCUUCUGGACCAGUACUGACGCUCAUGCACGAAAGCGUGGGGAGCAAACAGG
rnacentral:rRNA from 1 species